AGUGAACGCUGGCGGUAGGCCUAACACAUGCAAGUCGAACUGCAGCACAGUAAGAGCUUGCUCUUACGGGUGGCGAGUGGCGGACGGGUGAGGAAUACAUCGGAAUCUACUUUUUCGUGGGGUAUAACGUAGGGAAACUUACGCUUAUACCGCAUACGACCUACGGGUGAAAGCAGGGGAUCUUCGGACCUUGCGCGAUUGAAUGAGCCGAUGUCGGAUUAGCUAGUUGGCGGGGUAAAGGCCCACCAAGGCGACGAUCCGUAGCUGGUCUGAGAGGAUGAUCAGCCACACUGGAACUGAGACACGGUCCAGACUCCUACGGGAGGCAGCAGUGGGGAAUAUGGGACAAUGGGCGCAAGCCUGAUCCAGCCAUACCGCGUGGGUGAAGAAGGCCUUCGGGUUGUAAAGCCCUUUUGUUGGGAAAGAAAAGCAGCAGGUUAAUACCCCGCUGUUCUGACGGUACCAAACGAAUAAGCACCGGCUAACUUCGUG
rnacentral:rRNA from 1 species